AUUUUAGACUUUAACACUUGCAAGGGACUAUAUGGUCAAAUGUACUCCCUCCGUCUCACUAGACUUGACACUUUUGAGUUGGGCACGGAGAUUAAGAAUAAAGGGUUAAGAGUGUAAAGUAGGUAGGGUCCACUUAUUUUAUGUGAGUAGGAACUUCAGCUCUCUCACAAAAUAUAAAUGUACAAUUCUAGUGGACAAAAGCAAGGUGCCAAUUAGUGGGACAGGUAUUAAAUUAUUACCUACUUUAUAAACUCAUGGUGCUUCCAAAGUCACAAAAAACGACAGAAGACCUUUGCGUGUGGUGUGCUGCAGCUGCUGACCUAGCCCGUUAAAUUUGGGCUUAAUUAUUAGCGGCGGCGUUACCGCCACUAGUCACCGGCUUGGUUACCGACGGUGGUGCUGCCGAUGAUCACCGGCGAAGAUUUGCUAUCGGUAUUUCGUCUCACUCGCCGCCGCCGAUAAAUCUGGCCGGAAUUGGUGCGUUUUUUUUUUAGUGUCAAUGUCGAUAUCCACAAGAAAUCUACUAAUAAAAUCACAUGCGACAUUAAAAAGUAUAUCUAAAAGUCACCUCCCACUACAACAACGAUUUCA
rnacentral:lncRNA from 1 species